GAAGAUACACAAUCAGUUGCAACACUGAUGGACUCCACAACCUCUAAGAUACAGCAGCUGCAGAAAGCAUUUGCUGAGCUGGAAAGUCAUCGUGCUGUUACACUAAACCUGAAGUGGAAGCAACUCGAAGAGCACUUUCAUGGGCUUGAGAAGUCCUUGAAGAGGCGCUUCACCGAAUUGGAAGACCAAGAGAAAGAGUUUGAAACGAAAAUAGUUCAAUCUAAAAAGAUAUUGGAGAAUCGUCAAGCUGCUGUUAUCUCUAGUGAGAAAGCUUCACUUGAGAGCCUCCAAGAGAAAAGAGAUGCUGCCGUUUCUGCCAUUACUAUUGCUAUGGAGAAGCAUAUGAAGUCUAAUUUCAUGGAACCUGCUGGUGCUACUUCUGAGGUGCAAGGUGAGUCGUCUAUGUUUGAUGCAAAGCCUCUUGAUUACAUACCACUUGAGAAUACAGAGGAUUAUAUGAAGCCUUUCAAGAACGGUGUUGUGGAAGUCAGAGGUUAUCCAGAUUUAGUCAAAUUAUGCCAAUAUAUGGACUCGGAAGGCCUCCUCAAAUUUAUAUCUGACAACCGCAAGAACCUGGCUGCUGUAAGGGAGGAAAUUCCAUCUGCUUUGAGAACUGCUGUUCAUCCUGCCUGUUUGGUGCUGGACUCACUCAAGGGUUUUUACCCCUCAGAAGUGUCAAUUUCAGAUGCUAAAAAAGAUGCAAAUCUUUUAGGUCUUCGCCGAACUUGUAUUAUGCUAAUGGAAUGCCUUAGCAUUUUAUUAACAACGCUGGAAUUGGAUUCUGUUUCAAGUUUAAUAUCAGCAAGUGUUAAGGAACGGGCAAAAGCUAUUGCUGAGGAGUGGAAACCAAAGUUAGAUGAGCUUGACAUUGAUGCAAAUAAUGGGAAUUCUUUGGAGGCUCAUGCAUUC
rnacentral:misc_RNA from 1 species